rnacentral:lncRNA from 9 species
GGACUUCAGACUUGGACUGGAGCUAAAUCACCAGCUUUCCAGGGUCUCCAACUCACCAACUAUUGAACUUGGGACUUUGUAGCCUUCACAGUCAUGCAGCUGUGCUCCACGGUGACGCAGCCAUGCUGGACCAGUUCAGACUAAACACAUAUACAUCAUUGUCUUCAUGUGUGCUUCUAAUGUGUCCACAUCAAACUCUGGAGAGGACUCUUGGGGACAGUAAAUGGGGCUGAGACCACCUCGAAGUAAUUUUCAACGUGCGUACCUGUCAUCCUCCCGUCACUUCUCCUGGAGCAGCCUCAGGGCAAGCCCACCGGGGCAAUGAUUCCAUGUUUCCAUCCAACCGCUAAACUCAUCCUUCAUGACCUGGGCCCAGGCCAACUCACCAGAUCGAGCUCCUAAGAAGAGAGCAUAUUGUGUGGUUGACAGGAAUUCCACUGAGAAGAGCUGGUCACCUCUUGGCUUCUUUAAUUGUUCCUCAUAAGGAACAUUUACGAUAUCAUGACGGGUGUUUGGAGGGAUGUUCAGACAGUAAUUUACUUGGGGGUAGAAAAACCAACCUUAUAAACACUGAAAAGAAGACAAAGCAUAUCAAAGGUUGCAUUUUUCUCUUUCACUCAAUAUUGAACAAAUAUUUAUUAAAUAUCCACCAUGUGUCAGACAUUACUCUGUGCUCUGGAGGCUCAAGGAAAUGAGAAUCAAUUGUGCCUUCAUCAAAAUCCCAGCUAACCAGGCAGGCAGUGUGAUAAGCUCUCUGGUCAGCUAAGUACACAUGCAGACCAGAUUCCCACUGAGGACUUGGGAAGGUUCUCAAGCAAAUGGUAAUUCAGCCGAGACUUAAGGGAUCAUCUCAGAGUUACUCAUGAGAGAACAGGCAGCACACAUAUGGGAAAAGUGUGUUCCUAUUAGAAAAAGGUGUAUAAGAAAGCAUAGGGAUAAAAAAAAAAAAUAGCGCUGGUCAUUAAAAAUGACAAAUCAAGUGAUGGCAGCUGGAACACUGAGUGUGCAGAAAAGUGGCCAUGGGGAGGCUGCAUAAGUAGACAGGGAACCCCACAAUGAAGGGACUUAGAAGCAAUAUUGGGACAUUCAGACUUUUUCCUAAGAGCACAAAAGAGCCAGUAAAGCCCUUUAAGCAAGAUCCUAACCACAAAUCCUAAAUAAAAAUGCUUGUAGAAGGGUCAUAUCUGCCACAUUCAUUCGAUCAGAGUCUACCAAGUUCCAGACUCUAGGCUGGCCCUUGCAUGGACUGUACAUCAUCAACUGAAUCUAAGAAAACUUAAGAAAGCUCUCUUUCAGAGUUUGCCAAAGUCUGAAAAAAAGAGGGGAAACAGAAAGAAGAGUAGAUUAGUGUGAUGCUUAGUUUUAUGGGUCAAUAGGCUCAGAGGUGGUGCCCAGUGGUUUGGUCAAACUGUAGUUUAGAUGUUGCUAUGAAGGUCUUUUGUAGAUAUGAUAAACAUUUAUAAUCAGUUGACUUAAAUAAAGCACAUCAUCCUCUUUCGUGUAAGGGGCCUCAUCCAAUCAGCCAAGAGCCUGAGGUGCAAAAAUCAAGGUUUCCCAGAGAAACAGGAAUUCUGCCUCAAGACUAUAACAUGGAAACUCUGCCUGAAUUUCCAGUCGGCUGACCUGCCCUGAGGCUUUGAGACUCAAGACUGCUACAGCAACAUUUACGUGAAUGUCCAGCCUGCCAGCCCCAAUAAUCACUUACUUAAAAUUAAUCUCUAGAUAAAUUGACAGUAGAUAGAUAUAAGGAAAUGUAUACACACACACACAGUUGGUUCUAUAUCUGUAUCAUCAGAUCUCUGACUUCUAUAACCAGGAGUCUGAAAACCCACUCCAAUAUCCCCUCUCUAUCAUCUGACUUCUCUGAGCCCAUUGUCUCAUCAGCAUAAUAGAGACUAAUCACCCUCCUUUAGCACCAUGGCUGGCACAUAGUAGGUGCUUCAAAUCAUUUCUUUUCCCCUUUCCUUGAUUGAUUGAUAGGAUAGCUACAUAUCCAAUGAAGGGGCAUUUUUCUGCUGACACAGGCUGCACUUGAUGAAAUCUGAUCUAGAAUGGGAAAUACUAAACAAAAUAAAAAAGAAUUUACUCUCCGAGUAUUAUUGCCACUGUGAUGGAUGGCUGCUCCAAAGGCUAUUUCUCAAGAGUUCACAGUAGAGAAAAAUGUUCAGGCUUGAUUUUGUAUGCGUGUAGAAAAUAAAUUGUAUGACAAGGGUGGCGACAUUUGGACGGGGGAGAGGGCUUAGCCAAGGAAUUAAACAUGUCAGGAGCCUCCAAAGAAAAAGAAUGUUGAAAUGGAAGGUGAAAGGGGCAUAUUUGGAAAACUUGACAAGUGGCACAGUGGGAGGAAAGGUGGCAUUCUGGAAUGGGGUGUCAGCCACUCUCUGCCACUAAAGCCACGAUUUGCCCUUAAUAAUUCAGCGAGGUAGAAAGGAAAAAAUAUGAGCCCAACUUCUAAAGCUCUAUUAUCACAACUGGCUUAAAUUAUUUUCCCUUGCUUAAUUGACCACACAGCAAACAGAGAGAGAAUAAAAUCAGCCAGGGCUUUUUUUUUUUUUUUUUUUUUUUUCUUUUAAAUGGAAUCUUUGCCUAGGUAAUCUCUCAAGUUCCUGUCAACAAAACUCCCAACAUUAGAAAUAAACGAGACCCUGGGAGACAAAAUAACUGGAAUAAUGUCACACAGAACAUAAGUAGAAAACCCAAGUAGAAAACCCAGGCCUGGGAGCUCCCAACCUCAGGGCUUUGCAAGGAAUGAAGAGUAUUAUCCUGGCAAGGAUGGCACACAGGUUGCAGUCAGCACACCAACUUUAAUUGAUUAACUGUGCUGGGUUGAGGUGUGUGAGAGCAAAUGCAGGUUCACCAUGAAAGCAGGGCUUAAUUGAUUAGUGAUAUCUGUCGUGGGAGCCAGAGGUUCUCCAGGCAGGCCAAAUAUUUGUCAUUCCUUAUCUGGUCUAACUUUUUCUUUUUUCCCCUGUAUUACAGGUCUGCAAAAUAUAGCUGGUGGGCCAAAUUGGGCCUACUGCCUGUUUUUAUAAAUAAAAUUUUACUA